rnacentral:rRNA from 1 species
UACGGGGGGGGGCAAGCGUUGUUCGGAAUUACUGGGCGUAAAGAGCUCGUAGGUGGUUUGUCGCGUUGUUCGUGAAAUCUCACGGCUUAACUGUGAGCGUGCGGGCGAUACGGGCAGACUGGAGUACUGCAGGGGAGACUGGAAUUCCUGGUGUAGCGGUGGAAUGCGCAGAUAUCAGGAGGAACACCGGUGGCGAAGGCGGGUCUCUGGGCAGUAACUGACGCUGAGGAGCGAAAGCGUGGGGAGCGAACGG